GCAAUAAGAACCACUCAGGCUAGCCAAGGAGACUGCCCAUGAACCAGCUUAAAGGAUCAUUAAAUUGCUAAUCCUUCAGGGAGGACACAGGCAAGUCAUCCUUGGCUAUCAGAGAUAAGGUCCUUACUG
rfam:Oryza meridionalis cultivar OR44 (W2112) chromosome 6, whole genome shotgun sequence.